AACGAACGCUGGCGGCAUGCCUAACACAUGCAAGUCGAACGAGACCUUCGGGUCUAGUGGCGCACGGGUGCGUAACGCGUGGGAACCUGCCCUUAGGUUCGGAAUAACUCCCCGAAAGGGGUGCUAAUACCGGAUAAUGUCUUCGGACCAAAGAUUUAUCGCCUUUGGAUGGGCCCGCGUUGGAUUAGCUAGUUGGUUGGGUAAAAGCCUACCAAGGCGACGAUCCAUAGCUGGUCUGAGAGGAUGAUCAGCCACACUGGGACUGAGACACGGCCCAGACUCCUACGGGAGGCAGCAGUGGGGAAUAUUGGACAAUGGGCGAAAGCCUGAUCCAGCAAUGCCGCGUGAGUGAUGAAGGCCUUAGGGUUGUAAAGCUCUUUUACCCGGGAUGAUAAUGACAGUACCGGGAGAAUAAGCUCCGGCUAACUCCGUG
rnacentral:rRNA from 1 species